AUACUUACCUGGCAGGAGAGAGGCCAUGGUCAAGAAGGGAGUUUUCCCAGGGUGAAGCUUACCUAUAGCAUUUCAGAUGUGCUGAUCCCCGAGAAAGCCCCAGAUCGGAAAACUCAAUUGUAUAAUUUAUGGAGUAGGGUAAUGUGUUCACACUCUGCUCUG
rnacentral:snRNA from 1 species